GACGAACGCUGGCGGCGUGCCUAAUACAUGCAAGUCGAACGAGAGCGACCGGUGCUUGCACUGGUCAAUCUAGUGGCGAACGGGUGAGUAACACGUGGGUAACCUGCCCAUCAGAGGGGGAUAACAUCCGGAAACGGAUGCUAAAACCGCACAGGUCUUCGAACCGCAUGGUUUGAAGAGGAAAAGAGGCGCAAGCUUCUGCUGAUGGAUGGACCCGCGGUGCAUUAGCUAGUUGGUGAGGUAACGGCUCACCAAGGCCGUGAUGCAUAGCCGACCUGAGAGGGUGAUCGGCCACAUUGGGACUGAGACACGGCCCAAACUCCUACGGGAGGCAGCAGUAGGGAAUCUUCCGCAAUGGACGCAAGUCUGACGGAGCAACGCCGCGUGAGUGAAGAAGGUUUUCGGAUCGUAAAACUCUGUUGUUAGAGAAGAACAAGUGCUAGAGUAACUGUUAGCGCCUUGACGGUAUCUAACCAGAAAGCCACGGCUAACUACGU
rnacentral:rRNA from 1 species